rnacentral:rRNA from 1 species
AGCGAACGCUGGCGGCAGGCCUAACACAUGCAAGUCGAACGAAGUCUUCGGACUUAGUGGCGGACGGGUGAGUAACACGUGGGAACGUGCCUUUAGGUUCGGAAUAACUCAGGGAAACUUGUGCUAAUACCGAAUGUGCCCUUCGGGGGAAAGAUUUAUCGCCUUUAGAGCGGCCCGCGUCUGAUUAGCUAGUUGGUGGGGUAAUGGCCCACCAAGGCUACGAUCAGUAGCUGGUCUGAGAGGAUGACCAGCCACAUUGGGACUGAGACACGGCCCAGACUCCUACGGGAGGCAGCAGUGGGGAAUCUUGCGCAAUGGGCGAAAGCCUGACGCAGCCAUGCCGCGUGGAUGAUGAAGGUCUUAGGAUUGUAAAAUCCUUUCACCGGUGAAGAUAAUGACUGUAGCCGGAGAAGAAGCCCCGGCCAACUUCGUGCCAGCCGCCGCAGUAAUAC